UAUUGCACAAUGGGGGAAACCCUGAUGCAGCGACGCCGCGUGGGUGAAGGAGCGUUUCGGCGCGUAAAGCCCUAUCGGCAGGGAAGAAGGAGGACGGUACCUGACUAAGAAGCCCCGGCUAACUACGUGCCAGCAGCCGCGGUAAUAAGUAGGGGGCAAGCGUUAUCCGGAUUCACUGGGUGUAAAGGGAGCGUAGACGGCGAGACAAGUCUGGAGUGAAAGGCCGGGGCCCAACCCCGGGACUGCUCUGGAAACUGCCUGGCUGGAGUACAGGAGAGGUAAGUGGAAUUCCUAGUGUAGCGGUGAAAUGCGUAGAUAUUAGGAGGAACACCAGUGGCGAAGGCGGCUUACUGGACUGUAACUGACGUUGAGGCUCGAAAGCGUGGGGAGCAAACAGG
rnacentral:rRNA from 1 species